CACGCGGGCCAGGUUGAACUCGACGCCCUGCGCCCAUAGUAAGUCGACGAACUCUGGCAUAAAGGAAGAGAUCGCGGACAUUGAAGUCGGCGAAGCUGACCUCUCGGGAGACUUCCACGACGCGGCCGCUGUGGUGGCCGAGGAAGUCUGGGAGGAUGCCCUGUGCGUAUGUGGGCGUGAUCUCCAGCAACCAUGGACGACACCUCCAUUGUUGC
rnacentral:lncRNA from 1 species